AAGCUUUAAACACCUCCCAGAUUAGCUUUAUUUUUAAAUCAAAAGUGCAAGACAGGGAAGUGGUAAUUUGUGUUAGUCCAGCAGAUAUGAAAUUAAUUGAGAUAAAAACAAGAAGUAGCAGGCAAGCCCUUUGGGUGAAGAAAAUAAUGAGUUGUUCUAACUCGUUUCGACAGUCGCAAGAGAAACAUCGGGAGACGUGAGUUCACGGUACUGAGUUUGGAGUCUGUCAUUACACAUCAGCGCCCCUCCACACCAGAAACGGGAGAAAAAGCAGUUCUGUCCAGGAUUGGCUCCUCUCUGGUCCGAUUGUACCCAGUGAGAAAGCUGCAUCCCUUCCCAGUCGGUGACCUCUCAGCCUCCUGGGGCAGGGCUGCUGCUUGAUGCUCCAGAGGGAGGGUCUAGUGAACACAGGGACCUCAUUGUGUUCUCCAGGUCUGCUGUGCAUUUCCCAACAGUUUGGCAACGCUGUGGAACCCAACUACAAAAUCCUCCUAUUUCCUAGGGAAUGUCUGUCAAGCCACAGAAACGCCAACCUCUCCCUGCCCCUGGAAGAUGUUGCCAGUUGCACUCACUGACACACUGCACCCCAGGAACCCCCGACAAGGAACCAUGUUUAUUAUCAGCAGUUUAGUUUUUAGCUUAGUGUAUUAUUUUUUUUUAUAUUAUUAUUACUCCUAGCAUCUAAGACUUUGUGUAUGGGGAAUUUCCUUUUGCAGUUAUGCAGAAUGCUUCGACUGGUACCUAGGAGCACGAAGGAGAGAGGGCUGCCCAACUAGACAUCUACCAGGCAAGGCGAGGUACUUGAGAGAAACUAGCUCAGGGAGCUGAUUCCCGAGGUGCUGGGCCUCACCAUCUCCAGCCUCUGCUCCUCUGGCCUCCGUGUUCCCUUCCAGCUGUUUCUGUUCAUAUCCCGGGGAAGGAAUGUGUCCUUUCCCAUUCUCAUUUCUGAAGCCAGCUCCUUUCCUCUGUUAACUCCCCUUAUUUUGUAUUCAUUUUCUUGUUCAAUUUUUUUUCCUGAUCUAGAACCUGACUGAAGGUACCAGUUGUAAAACCUGAUAGUCACUCUCAUCCAAGUCCCAAAUGCUGUGGUUUUAGCCUUUAUUUGUUUGAUGAAAUAGCUUGAAAAGUAACGUUACUUUUUUUGUUAUUUGGGUUGAAGUAAGGACAAGCCCUAAAUUGCCAUAACCCCAAGUAAAUUGCUCUAAAUUCUGUACCAUACACACUGUGGGGAGACUUGUGACUCAAUACAAGGAGCCAAAUAACUGGCAUAGAUCCUUUAAGAAAGGACACAGUGAGGCAGUUUAUUUCCAGUAUUUUAUGAGAUGGAUUAUAUUCACAUGACGUCCAUUUUUUAAUAGCUCUGCUGUUCCAUUCUUGUCAUAAAAGCAACCAUUACCAAAACUUGUCUGCUUUUCUAGACCAUCCUAAUCCUUUCUUGCAUUCUACAGACAGAUAGAUUACAGUAUACUCACUUUAAACCACUGCCCAGCCCUCUGCCGACCGUGUUGCCACGUUUCAAUAGUUGCUGGCCUUACUGGGCUUUGGUUUUAAGGGCAAAUGGUGCAUAGGUUUCUAGGAACUCCAGAGAAGAUGUCUGUCUCCAUGGGGUCUGCUCCAGGAGACUCAUGCAGGGCAGACUGAGAUCCAUAGGGAGGCAGAUGGGGAAGGCCAUGACUGUCACCUGCCCUGGUUCUCCCUCUAGAGUCUGUAUUAUUUCUCUAGUGUGUGUAAGAUCCACUCCUACUUCUGACUGACGCUAACUUUCCACUUCUGAAAUUCGGGAGCCUUUAAAAAGUGGUUCUCUUGUCUUUUGGGAAAGUCAAGCUCUUCAUUUCUUUUUAUC
rnacentral:lncRNA from 1 species